rnacentral:rRNA from 1 species
AUUGAACGCUGGCGGCAGGCCUAACACAUGCAAGUCGAGCGGAUGAAGGGAGCUUGCUCCUGGAUUCAGCGGCGGACGGGUGAGUAAUGCCUAGGAAUCUGCCUGGUAGUGGGGGAUAACGUCCGGAAACGGGCGCUAAUACCGCAUACGUCCUGAGGGGGAAAGUGGGGGAUCUUCGGACCUCACGCUAUCAGAUGAGCCUAGGUCGGAUUAGCUAGUUGGUGGGGUAAAGGCCUACCAAGGCGACGAUCCGUAACUGGUCUGAGAGGAUGAUCAGUCACACUGGAACUGAGACACGGUCCGGACUCCUACGGGAGGCAGCAGUGGGGAAUAUUGGACAAUGGGCGAAAGCCUGAUCCAGCCAUGCCGCGUGUGUGAAGAAGGUCUUCGGAUUGUAAAGCACUUUAAGUUGGGAGGAAGGGCAGUAAGUUAAUACCUUGCUGUUUUGACGUUACCAACAGAAUAAGCACCGGCUAACUUCGUG